rnacentral:rRNA from 1 species
UGGCGAACGGGUGAGUAACACGUGGGUAACCUGCCCUCAAGCGGGGGAUAACAUCCGGAAACGGGUGCUAAUACCGCAUAGUUUCCAUCUCCUCCUGGAGGCGGAAGGAAAGACGGCCUUUGUGCUGUCGCUUGAGGAUGGACCCGCGGCGCAUUAGUUAGUUGGUGGGGUAAUGGCCUACCAAGACGAUGAUGCGUAGCCGACCUGAGAGGGUGAUCGGCCACAUUGGGACUGAGACACGGCCCAAACUCCUACGGGAGGCAGCAGUAGGGAAUCUUCCGCAAUGGACGAAAGUCUGACGGAGCAACGCCGCGUGAGUGAAGAAGGUUUUCGGAUCGUAAAACUCUGUUGUCGGGGAAGAACAAGCAUUGGAGUAACUGCCAGUGCCUUGACGGUACCCGACCAGAAAGCCACGGCUAACUACGUGCCAGCAGCCGCGGUAAUACGUAGGUGGCAAGCGUUGUCCGGAUUUAUUGGGCGUA